rnacentral:rRNA from 1 species
ACUCAAAUGAAUAGACGGGGACCCGCACAAGCGGUGGAGCGUGUUGUUUAAUUCGAUGGUAAGCGAAGAACCUUACCAAGGCUUGACUUCCUUGGAAGGUCUGCGAAAGCAGACUGUGCCUUCGGGAACCAAGUGACAGGUGAUGCAUGGCCGUCGUCAGCUCGUGUCGUGAGAUGUAUGGUUAAGUCCAUUAACGAGCGCAACCCUUAUGUUUAGUUGGAUUUUUCUAAACAGACUGCCCUGGUAACAGGGAGGAAGGAGGGGAUGAUGUCAGGUCAGUAUUUCCCUUACGCCUUGGGCUACAAACACGCUACAAUGGCCGGUACAAAGGGCAGCCAAGUCGCGAGACGGAGCUAAUCCCAUCAAAGCCGGUCCCAGUUCGGAUAGCAGGCUGAAACUCGCCUGCUUGAAGUCGGAAUCGCUAGUAACGGUAAGUCAGCACAUUACCGUGAAUACGUUCCCGGGUCUUGUACACACCGCCCGU